AUGCAAGUCGAGGGGUAACAGGGUGCUUGCACCGCUGACGACCGGCGCACGGGUGCGUAACGCGUAUACAAUCUACCUUAUAGAGGGGGAUAGCCCAGAGAAAUUUGGAUUAAUACCCCAUAGUAUUAUGAAAUAGCAUUAUUUCAUACUUAAACAUUUAUGGCUAUAAGAUGAGUAUGCGUUCUAUUAGUUAGUAGGUAAGGUAACGGCUUACCUAGACAUCGAUAGAUAGGGGUCCUGAGAGGGAGAUCCCCCACACUGGUACUGAGACACGGACCAGACUCCUACGGGAGGCAGCAGUGAGGAAUAUUGGACAAUGGGCGAGAGCCUGAUCCAGCCAUGCCGCGUGCAGGAAGACGGCCCUAUGGGUUGUAAACUGCUUUUACAGAGGAAGAAACACUCCCUUGCGAGGGAGCUUGACGGUACUCUGCGAAUAAGGAUCGGCUAACUCCGUGCCAGCAGCCGCGGUAAUACGGAGGAUCCAAGCGUUAUCCGGAAUCAUUGGGUUUAAAGGGUCCGUAGGCGGGACAAUCAGUCAGCGGUGAAAGUCUGUGGCUCAACCAUAGAAUUGCCAUUGAUACUGUUGUUCUUGAAUACUUAUGAAGUGGUUGGAAUAUGUAGUGUAGCGGUGAAAUGCAUAGAUAUUACAUAGAACACCGAUUGCGAAGGCAGAUCACUAAUAAUUUAUUGACGCUGAUGGACGAAAGCGUAGGUAGCGAACAGGAUUAGAUACCCUGGUAGUCUACGCCGUAAACGAUGGUUACUAGCUGUUCGGGAGCAAUCCUGAGUGGCUAAGCGAAAGUGAUAAGUAACCCACCUGGGGAGUACGUUCGCAAGAAUGAAACUCAAAGGAAUUGACGGGGGCCCGCACAAGCGGUGGAGCAUGUGGUUUAAUUCGAUGAUACGCGAGGAACCUUACCAGGGCUUAAAUGUAGUUUGACCGAUUUGGAAACAGAUCUUUCGCAAGACAAAUUACAAGGUGCUGCAUGGUUGUCGUCAGCUCGUGCCGUGAGGUGUCAGGUUAAGUCCUAUAACGAGCGCAACCCCUGUUGUUAGUUGCCAGCGAGUCAUGUCGGGAACUCUAACAAGACUGCCAGUGCAAACUGUGAGGAAGGUGGGGAUGACGUCAAAUCAUCACGGCCCUUACGUCCUGGGCCACACACGUGCUACAAUGGUAGGGACAGAGAGCAGCCACUGCGCAAGCAGGAGCGAAUCUAUAAACCCUAUCUCAGUUCGGAUCGGAGUCUGCAACUCGACUCCGUGAAGCUGGAAUCGCUAGUAAUCGCAUAUCAGCCAUGAUGCGGUGAAUACGUUCCCGGGCCUUGUACACACCGCCCGUCAAGCCAUGGAAGCUGGAAGCACCUGAAGUCCGUCACCGCAAGGAGCGGCC
rnacentral:rRNA from 1 species